GACGAACGCUGGCGGCGUGCUUAACACAUGCAAGUCGAACGGAAAGGCCCUGCUUUUGUGGGGUGCUCGAGUGGCGAACGGGUGAGUAACACGUGAGUAACCUGCCCUUGACUUUGGGAUAACUUCAGGAAACUGGGGCUAAUACCGGAUAGGAGCUCCUGCUGCAUGGUGGGGGUUGGAAAGUUUCGGCGGUUGGGGAUGGACUCGCGGCUUAUCAGCUUGUUGGUGGGGUAGUGGCUUACCAAGGCUUUGACGGGUAGCCGGCCUGAGAGGGUGACCGGCCACAUUGGGACUGAGAUACGGCCCAGACUCCUACGGGAGGCAGCAGUGGGGAAUAUUGCACAAUGGGCGGAAGCCUGAUGCAGCAACGCCGCGUGCGGGAUGACGGCCUUCGGGUUGUAAACCGCUUUCGCCUGUGACGAAGCGUGAGUGACGGUAAUGGGUAAAGAAGCACCGGCUAACUACGUGCCAGCAGCCGCGGUGAUACGUAGGGUGCGAGCGUUGUCCGGAUUUAUUGGGCGUAAAGGGCUCGUAGGUGGUUGAUCGCGUCGGAAGUGUAAUCUUGGGGCUUAACCCCUGAGCGUGCUUUCGAUACGGGUUGACUUGAGGAAGGUAGGGGAGAAUGGAAUUCCUGGUGGAGCGGUGGAAUGCGCAGAUAUCAGGAGGAACACCAGUGGCGAAGGCGGUUCUCUGGGCCUUUCCUGACGCUGAGGAGCGAAAGCGUGGGGAGCGAACAGGCUUAGAUACCCUGGUAGUCCACGCUGUAAACGGUGGGUACUAGGUGUGGGGUCCAUUCCACGGGUUCCGUGCCGUAGCUAACGCUUUAAGUACCCCGCCUGGGGAGUACGGCCGCAAGGCUAAAACUCAAAGGAAUUGACGGGGCCCCGCACAAGCGGCGGAGCAUGCGGAUUAAUUCGAUGCAACGCGUAGAACCUUACCUGGGUUUGACAUGGAUCGGGAGUGCUCAGAGAUGGGUGUGCCUCUUUUGGGGUCGGUUCACAGGUGGUGCAUGGCUGUCGUCAGCUCGUGUCGUGAGAUGUUGGGUUAAGUCCCGCAACGAGCGCAACCCUUGUUCACUGUUGCCAGCACGUUAUGGUGGGGACUCAGUGGAGACCGCCGGGGUCAACUCGGAGGAAGGUGGGGAUGACGUCAAGUCAUCAUGCCCCUUAUGUCCAGGGCUUCACGCAUGCUACAAUGGCUGGUACAGAGAGUGGCGAGCCUGUAAGGGUGAGCGAAUCUCGGAAAGCCGGUCUCAGUUCGGAUUGGGGUCUGCAACUCGACCUCAUGAAGUCGGAGUCGCUAGUAAUCGCAGAUCAGCAACGCUGCGGUGAAUACGUUCCCGGGGCU
rnacentral:rRNA from 1 species